rnacentral:rRNA from 1 species
GAUGAACGCUGGCGGCGUGCCUAAUACAUGCAAGUCGAGCGAACAGACGAGGAGCUUGCUCCUCUGACGUUAGCGGCGGACGGGUGAGUAACACGUGGAUAACCUACCUAUAAGACUGGGAUAACUUCGGGAAACCGGAGCUAAUACCGGAUAAUAUAUUGAACCGCAUGGUUCAAUAGUGAAAGACGGUUUUGCUGUCACUUAUAGAUGGAUCCGCGCCGCAUUAGCUAGUUGGUAAGGUAACGGCUUACCAAGGCGACGAUGCGUAGCCGACCUGAGAGGGUGAUCGGCCACACUGGAACUGAGACACGGUCCAGCCUCCUACGGGAGGCAGCAGUAGGGAACCUUCCGCAAUGGCGAAAGCCUGACGGAGCAACGCCGCGUGAGUGAUGAAGGUCUUCGGAUCGUAAAACUCUGUUAUUAGGGAAGAACAAAUGUGUAAGUAACUAUGCACGUCUUGACGGUACCUAAUCAGAAAGCCACGGCUAACUACGUG